GUAGGGUAAAGUCUCCUCGUGGGGAGACCAGGGAAACUUGGGCUAACACCGCAUAAUGCAGCGGCAUCACAUGGUGACAGUUGUUAAAGCGGGGGAUUUUAGGACCUCGCGCCUGAAGAGGAGCCUGCGGCGGAUUAGCUAGUUGGUGAGGUAACGGCUCACCAAGGUAACGAUCCGUAGCCGGCCUGAGAGGGCGGUCGGCCACACUGACACUGACAUACGGGUCAG
rnacentral:rRNA from 1 species